GAGUGAUGGCAGAGCUGCUGAUCCAGACGCACAGUAGCAGGAUUAGGUGUCGGCCUUUUUACAAUCGGCUGUCUGGGAAUCUGCAAAGCCCUCUCAUCUCCAUCUCUCUCUGCACCUUCAUGAUGACUCAGCUCUUCACAGAAGAGCUCUUAGAGAAGACGAUUAUUGUGUACUUUUCGACAACAUGGAUAACAGUCUAUGAACAAGCAGUAGAGGUUACCCUGUGAGCGACAUGAACAAUUUCCACUUGCUGUACAAACAUGUUUUGUGGAGUGGGAAUUCUGACCUUUCGUACCGGAAGCAGAACGAAACAGGAGGAGCAGAGAGAGAUUUGCUGCUUCCUGUGUGAAUGGUUUAAACUGAAAUGUUUGUGAGGUCAGUAAAGUAGUUGCAGUGUCACGGUUAGUCAUGGUGUAUGACUGAACGUUUACCUCAACGCUGACUUUCUUCAAAAUGCAUUUCCAUUAAUUACAAUUUACCUGCUUUUUUUUUUUUAAACUGAUUGAGGUCUUUAUUGCAGAGUUUCUCAUCCCUUUUGUGUCUGGCUGCAACUCCCCUAAAGUUUUUGCAACCCCAUCCAUCUCUACUCCCUCCGGACUGAAAUCAUACUACAGCAGUCUCCGUGCAGGCGACACGCACUGCACAGAAAACCCUUUUGCUGUGUAAUCCUCUACUGUUUUAAACACAUUGCUACCUCUGCUGUCACUCCUAGCAUGUUCAUAAUGAUUUUGAAAUCAUUUUUUUCCCUUAGCUGUCAAAACUGGCUUGUGUUUUUUUUUUUAAAUGGAUGAUUAAUUCUGUCAUAUUUUCCAGACUAAGUGAUCAUACAGUGAAAAGUUCAAGCCAUAACAUCCCUGGCAAUCAGCAGAAGCAGGUUUGCUCACUAGUGACAGAUAUUGAGCUAAUCAUAUCCAGUUUCUAAAUGUGUCCAUGUCAGUCCUUGGCUGCUAGGCAGUCUGGGUCCUUCUACAUGCUAUACUUGAUUUCAACACCUUCCAAACCAGAACUACAUCCCCUCCCCUUAACUACUCUCCACAUAUCAAUGUCAAGUGAACAGCAUUUUAAGAGCCUAUACUGUGUACCUGAGAACAUUUAAGACAAGUGCAGAAAAACAAAACCAUCAGAGGAAGGGUCAAUGAUCAAUUGUUUCUACUGGCACAAAGGCCGAGACCCAUCACUUGCCUUGAGGGUAUAAGGUGACAGCCAUGAAUUACACAUCAUGAUUAUGAGAUAUGGCCUGAGAUCAUCUCUCUGCAAGAGAUCACAGCUCUCUGUGCCACACUGACGCACACAAACAUCACCAGCGGUUAUAAAACAGGUUCAAACAGGAGCUCAUUAGCUUGUGUUUAUACACCAUGGUGUUUGUUUCUCCAGAUUACUCAUCUCAUGCUUUCCCUUCCAAUAGGAGAUGGUUCACAGCUCACAAAAAAACAGCAGGGAGUCAGUCUAGCGCAGGAACAGCCAAAGAUGGAAGCCCACAAAUGCACAAGUGGAGGGGGGAGAAUCCAAAAAACCCCACCACUACUCACAAGCCAAGAGUUUGACAACAAACAGAAACAAAAACUGGAAAAACACAUUCAGUUUCGCAGUGACAAAAAGGAGCUGCUGAGAAAUAAUAAACUAAAGCCAAGUGAACACUACACAACCUUUAAAAUCUCAGAAUUGCUGUCCUGCUGUUGUCACUUGCAAACUUAUUUUGCAGACAUGGUAGUGUUCACGCUACACGAGCAAUCAUGGACAAGGCUCACACACUACACAAUGUCACCUGGGGAGAUCCCCACCAAAGUGCACCUGAGCCCAAAAAACCUGCUUUCUCACCUAAAUAAACUUCACACACAAACUUAACACCUAAAUGAGCCGUCAAUCAUGUGACUAUGUCAAGAGCAACUGUGUGUGGUGGUUGUUUUUGCACUAUUUAUAAGCUAAUAGACUUGAGAGGCCUUGAAUGUGACUCUUAGAUCAAUAAGGAUAUACCCUACCACUGAUUCGACAUCCAUCAUGAAUUGUCACUGAGGUAUCACUAUAAUGAGGAUGGCCAUCAUAUUACCCAAUUCCCAAAAACAAAUUCAUAAUUUAACCCAAUAAAAUGACUACUUUUUGCUCAAAUGUUGCAAAGUAGCUACAUAAGAACAGCUUUGAUAAGAUUAUCGCUCAUGUCCAUCUCAUCCUGUCUAAAGAAAUCUAUUAGAAGGUUUUCCCCAUCUAGCUCUUUUAUGCUUUUAAAAUGCAAAUAAAAAACUGAAUAGAAAAGCCUGGGGGGGACGACUAAAUUUCACUGAAAGGUACAGGAGGAAAUGUUGGUCUAUAUAUAAAAACAAAAUGCAAAUGGUUUCAGCAUUAUAAGCGCAUAAAUCUAAACAAAAAUAUGGCCACGGAGGAAACUCUUGCACUGUCUGGACAGAUGAUGAAAUUAAGGAAAAACUAAUUUGAAAUUAACAAAAGCAACAUAAACAGGCACCAUGAUGCCGACCUUAAAGAGGAAUGACACUUAAGAGGAAUGAAUGAACAAACAUCAAAAAUCUCCACCACGCUGCUGUUUUGA